AUGCAUGCAAAGAAAAGGUGUAUGGAUAUCUGUGCAUAUAUGCAUGCCUGCACAGAUAUCCAUACACUUUUUUCUUUGCAUGCAUUU